CCUAGGCUUAGUGGUGCAAGCCUGUAAUCCCAGUGGCUUGGGAGGUUGAGGCAGGAGGAUCCUGAGUUCAAACCAGUCUCAGCAAUAGUGAGGCACUAAGCAACUCAGUGAGACCCUGUCUCUA
rnacentral:sRNA from 1 species